GACGAACGCUGGCGGCGUGCUUAACACAUGCAAGUCGAACGGAAAGGCCCUGCUUUUGUGGGGUGCUCGAGUGGCGAACGGGUGAGUAACACGUGAGUAACCUGCCCUUGACUUUGGGAUAACUUCAGGAAACUGGGGCUAAUACCGGAUAGGAGCUCCUGCUGCAUGGUGGGGGUUGGAAAGUUUCGGCGGUUGGGGAUGGACUCGCGGCUUAUCAGCUUGUUGGUGGGGUAGUGGCUUACCAAGGCUUUGACGGGUAGCCGGCCUGAGAGGGUGACCGGCGACAGUGGAACUGAGCCAGGGACCAGACUCCUACGGGAGGCAGCAGGGGGGAAUGUGACGCAAUGGGCGAAAGCCUGACGGAGCAAGGCCGCGUGAGGGAAGAAGGUCUUCGGGUCGGAAACCGCGGUUGGAAGGGAAGAACAAGGUUGUAUGAAUACCCGCGGGUCAUGACGGUACCGAAACAGUAAGCAACGGCUAACUACGUG
rnacentral:rRNA from 1 species